AUGUUUACUAGUAAUCCAUCCCCAACAUGGCAGACUAUCAGUUAUGGGUUGGAUCUGCGGAAGAAGGGGCUGGUUUGGAGGAUCGCAAAUGGCCAAAAUGUUAGAAUAUGGAGGGACAGAUGGGUGGUGCGUGAGCCCUUUGGCGGCUUGAUCUCGAGGAAGGGGCGUUGUUGGUUCAAGUGGGUGUUUGAGCUCAUGGAUUAUAAUGGAACAUGGGACCAAACCAAACUACAACAAUUCUUUGUACCCAUUGACAUAUGUGAGAUCUUGAAAAUACGACCAUCUCCACGACUUGGUGUAGACUUUCUUGCUUCGGCACCAGAGAAGUCGGGCAUAUUUACUGUGCGCAGUGCUUAUCAACUUGCGUCGGAUGAAGUGAGCAAUAGUUCCAUUGCAACUUCCAGUGAACAUGCUGAUGGAGCGCGGGUGGGAUGGAAGCACAUCUGGUCCACUCCAGCUCCACCAAAGGCUGACCACUCAAAGGACAAGUACCCAGCUAUGGUGUGUUUUCCUUUGACUGCUCCUACAUGCAAUAUAAAGCGCCUUGAUCCCAGCCCUUGGGCUCCUUCUGCGGCUCGAAGGGUAAAGCUGAACACCGACAGAUCUGUGCUAAAUGGAGUAGCAGGUGGUGUCUGCUGGAGGACGUCCAAGUAUUCAUCUUCGCUGGUCUUCCAAUCGCUGCAUAUACAAGUAUUUUGGGCACCUACUGGUACAUAA
rnacentral:rRNA from 1 species